rnacentral:rRNA from 1 species
UACGGGGGGGCAAGCGUUGUUCGGAAUUACUGGGCGUAAAGGGCUCGUAGGCGGCCAACUAAGUCGGACGUGAAAUCCCUCGGCUUAACCGGGGAACUGCGUCCGAUACUGGAUGGCUUGAGAUUGGGAGAGGGAUGCGGAAUUCCAGGUGUAGCGGUGAAAUGCGCAGAUAUCAGGAGGAACACCGAUGGCGAAGGCAGGUCUCUGGGCAUUAACUGACGCUGAGGAGCGAAAGCAUGGGGAGCGAACAGG